AAACGACUCUCGGCAACGGAUAUCUCGGCUCACGCAUCGAUGAAGAACGUAGCAAAAUGCGAUACUUGGUGUGAAUUGCAGAAUCCCGUGAACCAUCGAGUUUUUGAACGCAAGUUGCGCCCAAAGCCAUCCGGCUAAGGGCACGCCUGCCUGGGCGUCACGCCUCG
rnacentral:rRNA from 1 species